UACGAAGGGGGCUAGCGUUGUUCGGAAUUACUGGGCGUAAAGGGCACGUAGGCUGGCUGCUAAGUCGGUGGUGAAAUCCCGAGGCUCAACCUCGGAAUUGCCUUCGAUACUGGCGGUCUUGAGUGCGGGAGAGGUGGGUGGAAUUCCCAGUGUAGAGGUGAAAUUCGUAGAUAUUGGGAAGAACACCAGAGGCGAAGGCGGCUCACUGGCCCGCAACUGACGCUGAGGUGCGAAAGCGUGGGGAGCAAACAGG
rnacentral:misc_RNA from 1 species